CCGAUUAGCGCCAGCUGUGGACACUUUUCACCUGCUAUAAAAGCUCGCCUGGUCACUUUCCUUCACAAUUGUCUCUGGCACAAUGGCUGGUGUUUGGCUCUUGGUUCUGUUUCUCUGUGUUGUCUUCAUGGACAAUGGCUUUUGUUUUCCAGGUGCGGUGAAACAAGGGGAGUCCGAUGCUGUGCCAAAAAAAGAUGCGUCCCCUGAUUAUGUUUCACUUCAGAGACUUGUUAAACUUCUUGAUUCUUUGGACUCUCCAUUGAAACUACACACUCCGGCCCAACCUGCAACCAAGGAGGUAUUUCAAGACAAAGCAAGCCACCAUGAGCAAAAUGAUUACCAUCUCUACAACGUGAGCGGCAAGGGCCAACUGAACGACGUCUUGAGCUUCAACGUGAGCGGCGAGGGCCAACUGGAUGAUGACUCAGCAAAUGGAGGGCUCAUUGUAAAUAUUUGAUUUAUAUGGCAUGGAAGAACUGUUUAAUGUAACUUGAUAAAAAUUCUUAUCAGCACAUUGAAAAGGUUUUCAUCUAAAAACUACUGGUUUAAAUCACCUUCAGUGACAAUUUCAAUUCAGGGCCGGUCCACAAGCUGUGAAUUGGGGCCUAGCAUGUUACCUGCUUUACUCAUUGAAAAACUGUUUGCUGACCAAAUUUAGAGUGACAAAGGAUGGUACAAAUUUUGCCACUUUGUCAAAAUGGUAGCAACUGACAAGAUGUUUUCAAGUUGGACGUGAGUGAGCUGAAAUAUUGAAGUUGCAUGACUAAGCUAUCCAGUCUGUAAAUCCAUUUUGAUUGGAUACCUGUGUAAUCAUGACAGCCAUAUCUGAUUGAAUUGGAGUCAGAUAACAGACAUUUCAUGGGUACAACAGCCUCCCUAUGUGGCAGAUGUCUAAAAAUAGCCACCCACACAAAUCAGUCUCAAAUGGCAUGUUGAUCAUUGAAGUAUUCAUUCUUUGCAUAAGUAAAGGUUUAACUACUGGCAAAUACUGUAUCAAAAGUUAGAAUAGAUAUAACAGUGUUAAUCACCUUUGUUCAAUAAAAAACGAAACUAUGAAAGAGA